AAUAUUUUGAAUGUACCUGUUAAAUCCACCUGGUACAGAGUGUCAUUCAAAGCCACCGUUUCUUUAUUCAUUUUCUGUUUGGAUAAUCUGUCCAUUGAUGUAAGUAGGGUGUUAAUGU